rnacentral:lncRNA from 1 species
GUAAUGGUAAUGUUGAAGCGGAUGAUGAAGAAGAAGUUGAAGAGUAAGAAACUGGAGAAGAAGAAUAGGAAAAAGAAUAGUAUGAAGAAGAAAGUGGUGAAGAAGAAGAAGAGGAUGAUGAUUAGACCAUUGAUGGACUUUGACAUCAAAAACUGUGAUUUUUUUUUACUUUAUAGCUUUAUUUUAUUUUUUAAUGAAUAAUUUAUGUGUUUUCCUUUUAUCAUUUUUAGAACAAUGCCAUGGAUGAACAAAAGGAACUUGAACAUAUUGUUCAUUUUGUACUAAUGUACUAAGUAUACGAGCAUGUCAAAGUUUUC